rnacentral:rRNA from 1 species
CAGCAGCCGCGGUAAAACGAAGGGGGCUAGCGUUGCUCGGAAUGACUGGGCGUAAAGGGCGCGUAGGCGGCGGCCAAAGUCAGGCGUGAAAUUCCCGGGCUCAACCUGGGGGCUGCGUUUGAUACUUGGUUGCUUGAGUGGGGAAGAGGGUCGUGGAAUUCCCAGUGUAGAGGUGAAAUUCGUAGAUAUUGGGAAGAACACCGGUGGCGAAGGCGGCGACCUGGUCCUUUACUGACGCUGAGGCGCGAAAGCGUGGGGAGCAAACAGGAUUAGAUAACCGUGUAGUCCCUGUCUCUUAUAC